UUUUUCAGUGCAAUGCAUGCAUCAGAUUUGCAGUUCAGAUAAAAGCAACACACCAAACAAUCACCACAGUCCACAGGAGCAUAUCCAUUUCUGUUCCAAUACUCCUGCCAUCAUCAUCAUCGUGUUGAGUAAUUGGAACCAAUAAUUAUGUUGUGUGAUGUGAUUUUACUCUGCUGGUGAUUACUGAAACUAAAUUAUUAAUUCAGAAAGCAAUGGAGUACCUAGCAGCAAGAACUUGUAGGGGUCGUCGAUUCCGGUGAGGCCAACAAGCCGUGCAGGGAAGGGGAGAGCUGAGCUGCUGAAGGCGAGGUUCCCGUACCACAUCCGACCUGACUCCCAUCGCCGCCGCCGCCGCCGCCGGCGGUGGUGGGGGUCGCCGGAGAAGGGUGUGGGCGCCGCUAGUCGCCGGAGAGUGGGUUGGGGGGAAGAAAGCUGACGCUCCUUUGGUGUGGGUCGUUGAGUCGUUUACCGGUGCACCGCCCGACGACCUCGCCGGCGACGAGCUCCGCGCCUCCGCCUCCGCGGCGUGGCUGCCGGCGACGAGAAGCUAAGGUAAGAAAAGUCAGUGAUAAGUGGGCCGAUUUGCUCAUUGGGCCUACGCAGAAUCAUUAUGUCGGCCCAUUAAAAUUGGGCUUACGAAGUGAUGUGCCUUUACUAUGCAAAAUGUCCUGCUUUUCUCCUGCGAUUUUGCAACCCCUAUUGGUGAAAUUCAAGCAAAAAGAUGGGGGGAAAUACUUGAAAUUCAGUCAUCUUGUCAGAACAUGUAUGAUGAAGAUUAUAUGCAUGCCAAACACUAAUCUCUCGUUUUGAAAUGUGAGUUCUCUUGUAAAAAAAUAUAUGAAAUUUUGGUUAGACGAGACACAUCAUAGUACUGCGAAUUUAUACG
rnacentral:lncRNA from 1 species